GGGCGAUUAGCUCAGCGGGAGAGCGCUUCCCUGACACGGAAGAGGUCACUGGUUCAAUCCCAGUAUCGCCCACCC
rnacentral:tRNA from 1 species